rnacentral:rRNA from 1 species
UACGUAGGUGACAAGCGUUGUCCGGAUUUACUGGGCGUAAAGAGCGCGCAGGCGGUCGUUCAAGUCGAGUGUGAAAGCCCCCGGCUCAACUGGGGAGGGUCAUUCGAUACUGAUCGACUCGAAGGCAGGAGAAGGAAGUGGAAUUCCCGGUGUAGUGGUGAAAUGCGUAGAUAUCGGGAGGAACACCAGUGGCGAAGGCGGCAUCCUGGACCGGUAUUGACGCUGAGGCGCGAAAGCUAGGGGAGCAAACGGG